rnacentral:rRNA from 1 species
GAUGAACGCUGGCGGCGUGCUUAACACAUGCAAGUCGAACGAUGAAGCCCAGCUUGCUGGGUGGAUUCGUGGCGAACGGGUGAGUAACACGUGAGUAACCUGCCCUUGACUCUGGGUUAAGCGCUUGAAACGGCGUCUAAUACCUGCUACGAGCUUCCACCACAUGGUGAGUUCCUUGGAAAAAGUCCGGUCAACGGUCGACUCUAGGCCGAUCCGCUAGUUGGUGAGGUAACGGUACACCAACCCGACGACGGGUAGGCGGCCUGUGAGGGGGACCGGCCACAAUAGGACUGAGAGACGGCGCAGACUCGUACGGGAGGCAGUAGUGGAGAGUAUUGCACAGUGGGCGCAAGCCUGAUGCAGCAACGCCGCGUGAGGGAAGAAGGCUUAUGGGUGGUAAACAACUUUUAGAAGGGAAGAAGCGAAAGUGACGGUACCUGCAGAAAAAGCCCCGGCUAACUACGUG